rnacentral:lncRNA from 1 species
GGAAAUAAGGAGACAAGAUCAAAGGUUUAAGCAACAAGAUCAAAGAGAUGAUUAGGAAACCCUAGAUCUAGCCGCUUCUGUGUGUGUUGUCCAAAAGUCCCCCUUUUCGUUGUCUCCUCAUCCCCUCUUAUAGUGUAACCGUCCAUGAUGCCCUAAUCGUGUCGUCCUUUGGGCCCUGUCGUUAAAGACCGAGUAUGCGGGUCUUGGUACUGUUCUCUAUAAGCCGAGCGUCUUAGCUGAUCGGCUAAAAGUACUCUGGGAUCGA